rnacentral:rRNA from 1 species
GUGAACGCUGGCGGUAGGCCUAACACAUGCAAGUCGAACGGCAGCACAGUAAGAGCUUGCUCUUACGGGUGGCGAGUGGCGGACGGGUGAGGAAUACAUCGGAAUCUACUUUUUCGUGGGGGAUAACGUAGGGAAACUUACGCUAAUACCGCAUACGACCUACGGGUGAAAGCAGGGGAUCUUCGGACCUUUCGCGAUUGCAUGAGCCGAUGUCGGAUUAGCUAGUUGGCGGGGUAAAGGCCCACCAAGGCGACGAUCCGUAGCUGGUCUGAGAGGAUGAUCGGCCACACUGGAACUGAGACACGGUCCAGACUCCUACGGGAGGCAGCAGUGGGGAAUAUUGGACAAUGGGCGCAAGCCUGAUCCAGCCAUACCGCGUGGGUGAAGAAGGCCUUCGGGUUGUAAAGCCCUUUUGUUGGGAAAGAAAAGCAGCAGGUUAAUACCCCGCUGUUCUGACGGUACCCAAAGAAUAAGCACCGGCUAACUUCGUG